UGCUACAAGCUCCAAAAACGGUGCCGUUACAUGGCUGUGGUGGUCGAUUGACUUGCUCAUGUCCUGCCUCUUUCCCCUGUGAUCAAAAGUAACACAUGCUUGUGAUAAGAUCCCACAUUGGAAGUAAAAUGUCUAAAUAAAACUAAGUGACUAAAUUAUCUCACAUUGGAAAGGGGAAAGAAUAGUAAAUGGCUUCUAAGUUCACAAGCUGACGUUUAAGGUGAUUUUAGCCCAAACGUAAGGAAACACACGGAAUAGAGAAAUGCUCGGUUAUCUAUUCAUAUAUCCCGUAAAAAGAAAGAACCAAAACUAUUUCGUAAGUGACACGGACAAGCAGCAGCUUUGAGAUAACUACUAUAAACACUUGGCAACUGAGACAACGAAAUUGAGACUUACGGAGAAGGAAUGGAAUCUGAAUCAGAUUUAAGAUAGUAAAUCUUGAGUACCAGCUGGGAGAGGAUUCUUUAUGUCACAUUAUAUCCUGAUUAAGGCAAACACCACAGAAAGAAACAACUUUUAAUUAUGCAAGAAUCCAUCUCAAAAUCUCGUUUUACACACUCAGAACAAUUUUGUUAUAAAAUAACCUUAUCCCCACUUCAAUUUGUUGUUUAGUAUGCCAUCGCAAGCCACAGUAUAAAUUGGUAUAGAGGAAAAUCCACUAUUAGAUAAACCUAGAUGUCCUGUAAAAUUUGUCAUAUUCCCACAAUGUUGCAAAUUGAAGUAACUAAUGCACAC
rnacentral:lncRNA from 1 species